rnacentral:snoRNA from 1 species
UAGUUAGCAAUGAUCAUAAAAAUAAUUCUUUGUUCUGACUUACUUAAUUUGAUAAUGACAAACUUCUUAUUGUAACUAUAGAAUCUGAGCUAU